GCUUGUCUCAAAGAUUAAGCCAUGCAUGUCUAAGUGUAAAUAAGUCUAUACUGUGAAACUGCGAAUGGCUCAUUAAAUCAGUUAUCGUUUAUUUGAUGAUCUCUUACUACUUGGAUAACCGUAGUAAUUCUAGAGCUAAUACAUGCACAAAAUCCCGACUUACGAAGGGAUGUAUUUAUUAGAUACAAACCAACAUCGUGGUGAUUCAUAAUAACUUUGCGAAUCGUAUGCCUCACGGCGACGAUGAAUCAUUCAAAUUUCUGCCCUAUCAACUUUCGAUGGUAAGGUAUUGGCUUACCAUGGUUACAACGGGUAACGGGGAAUUAGGGUUCGAUUCCGGAGAGGGGGCCUGAGAAAUGGCCACCACUUCCAAGGAAGGCAGCAGG
rnacentral:rRNA from 1 species